AAACCAUGCAUCAGACAUUUUUUGAUUAAUUCCUUGAGUUGCUCCCAAGCUUCAUAAAAUGUUUCAUCUUCAGAUUGUCAAAAAGAUGUAAUAUCGUUCCUCAAUUU
rfam:Gossypium hirsutum cultivar TM-1 chromosome 20, whole genome shotgun sequence